AUUUUAAAAGGUUUUCAAUCAAAGGGAAGGGUGGAGCUAGGCAGACACAUGUAACCGUAUGGUUGUAAAGUCUAGCAUGCAGCAGUACUGUAGACCAGCAGUACAAUAGCUUUACACAACAGUGGGUACAGUACAGCACUAGGCCCCGCAUAGCUGGUCUGUGUUGGUUACAAUGGGAGACAUUCCUGUGUUGCCGGCUCAUAGCAGCACAUAGGUGUAUGAUGGGGCACAGUGUUCCAUCACACCUGGAGUAUGUAACACAACUUUUGGCUUCUUUGUUUGCAGGUACCUGUGUCAUUUGAUCAUUACUGAUGCAGGUGUUUUGAAACUCUAUGGAUUAGCCCAUUCUACACUACUCUACAGGAUAGAAAUUAGACAGGCCAACACAGUGAAUGCUUGGAUGGUUUCAUAACAGGAAAUAUCUUGUACGUGCUCCUCACUUGUUACUGAAGAUGAAAAAAAAUCGAUCAGAGACCGGCAGUGCAACAAGACAGAUCAUCCUGUGUUUCACUGUUUGCUGUGUCAACAUGCCACAUUUUACGACACAUAAAGGAAUGUAAUGUGCGCAUCGAUUUGAACAUUAGCCUGAGCCAUUUAUUUUUUUACUCUCAUAUUAUAAUAAACGAAUUAUUUACUAAAAUUACCAUUUCUUAGGCCUACAGAUUCGGAAAUUUGUUUUAUAAAAACUUUUAAAAAAUAAAUUAUUUUUUAUUUCCAA